AGGGGAGUAGCUCAGUUGUAGAGCUCAGGCUUCGUAUGCGGAAGACCUGGGUUCGAUUCCCGGCUUCUUCC
rnacentral:tRNA from 1 species